rnacentral:rRNA from 1 species
CAGUCGCCGCGGUAAUACGUAGGUCCCGAGCGUUGUCCGGAUUUAUUGGGCGUAAAGCGAGCGCAGGCGGUUUGAUAAGUCUGAAGUUAAAGGCUGUGGCUCAACCAUAGCUCGCUUUGGAAACUGUCAAACUUGAGUGCAGAAGGGGAGAGUGGAAUUCCAUGUGUAGCGGUGAAAUGCGUAGAUAUAUGGAGGAACACCGGUGGCGAAAGCGGCUCUCUGGUCUGUAACUGACGCUGAGGCUCGAAAGCGUGGGGAGCGAACAGGAUUAGAGACCCCUGUAGUCCCUGUCUCUUAUACA